rnacentral:rRNA from 1 species
GACGAACGCUGGCGGCGUGCCUAAUACAUGCAAGUCGAGCGGACUGAUUAAGAGCUUGCUCUUAUGACGUUAGCGGCGGACGGGUGAGUAACACGUGGGCAACCUGCCCUGUAGAUCGGGAUAACACCGAGAAAUCGGUGCUAAUACCGGGUAAUAUCUGAGAUCACAUGAUCUUAGGUUAAAAGAUGGCUCCGGCUAUCACUACAGGAUGGGCCCGCGGCGCAUUAGCUAGUUGGUAAGGUAAUGGCCUACCAAGGCGACGAUGCGUAGCCGACCUGAGAGGGUGAUCGGCCACACUGGGACUGAGACACGGCCCAGACUCCGACGGGAGGCAGCAGUAGGGAAUCUUCCGCAAUGGACGAAAGUCUGACGGAGCAACGCCGCGUGAGUGAUGAAGGGUUUCGGCUCGUAAAGCUCUGUUGUUAGGGAAGAAACAGUACCGAACGAACUAGGUCGGUACCUUGACGGUACCUAACCAGAAAGCCACGGCUAACUACGUG